AGGAUAAUAGUUUAGAAAAACAUUUAACUUGCACUUAAAAAGCACUCAACACGAGUUUAUCUUA
rnacentral:tRNA from 1 species